UACGUAGGGGGCAAGCGUUGUCCGGAUUUAUUGGGCGUAAAGAGCGUGUAGGCGGUUUGGUAGGUCUGCUGUGAAAACUCGAGGCUCAACCUCGAGACGCCGGUGGAAACCAUCAGACUAGAGUCCGGAAGAGGAGAGUGGAAUUCCUGGUGUAGCGGUGAAAUGCGCAGAUAUCAGGAAGAACACCGAUGGCGAAGGCAGGUCUCUGGGCCACUACUGACGCUGAGAAGCGAAAGCAUGGGGAGCGAACAGG
rnacentral:rRNA from 1 species